AACGAAUUAUUUGAUUUUUUCUUUCUGUUGUUUCUUUGUUUUCAUUGUUAUACUCAUAAUAACAGAAAACGAAAUGUUCGGCGAUUCAUGAUUCGCUUGCAGCAAGUGAUUUGGUUCAGAAAGUGAUUGGGAAAGCAAAUCAACUUGUCUUUAUUUUAUUUUGAGAGAACAAAAAGUUAGAAAGUUGUUGUCCAAUUGGACCCUAUGGGUUUAUCCAUUCAUUAUACAUUAGUUGGCGGAUAAGGGUUUGUCAGGGGAUUAACCAAAAUAUUUCCUCUCCAAUCAGUCAUUUGGAGGUUAAGAGGUAGCCACCUGACCAAGUUACCAUCACUAUUUUGGCGAUUUUCUGUGUCACCAAUUUAUCACGAAAAGCCAUGGUAAAUUUUCAAACCUCUACACGUCUCAUAUAUCAAUUAAUUAGGAGCAAUGUUUUGAGGAUGAAUUUUCUCUGUCACCAUCAAUAUUG